rnacentral:rRNA from 1 species
CCAGACUCCUACGGGAGGCAGCAGUGGGGAAUAUUGCACAAUGGGGGAAACCCUGAUGCAGCGACGCCGCGUGAGCGAAGAAGUACCUCGGUAUGUAAAGCCCUAUCAGCAGGGAAGAAAAUGACGGUACCUGACUAAGAAGCCCCGGCUAACUACGUGCCAGCAGCCGCGGUAAUACGUAGGGGGCAAGCGUUAUCCGGAUUUACUGGGUGUAAAGGGAGCGUAGACGGCGGCGCAAGUCCGGAGUGAAAGCCCACGGCCCAACCGUGGGACUGCUCUGGAAACUGUGCGGCUUGAGUGCGGGAGGGGCAGGCGGAAUUCCUAGUGUAGCGGUGAAAUGCGUAGAUAUUAGGAGGAACACCAGUGGCGAAGGCGGCUUACUGGACUGUAACUGACGUUGAGGCUCGAAAGCGUGGGGAGCAAACAGGAUUAGAUACCCUAGUAA